UAGGGAAUCUUCCGCAAUGGGCGAAAGCCUGACGGAGCAACGCCGCGUGAGUGAUGAAGGUCUUCGGACCGUAAACCUCUGUUAUUAGGGCAGAACAAAUGUGUCAGUAACUAUGCACGUCUUGACGGUACCUCAUCAGAACGCCACGGCUAACUACGUGCUAGCAGCCGCGGUAAUACGUAGGUGGCAAGCGUUAUCCGGAAUUCUUGGGCGUAAAGCGCGCGUAGGCGGUUUUUUAAGUCUGAUGUGAAAGCCCACGGCUCAACCGUGGAGGGUCAGUGGAAACUGGAAAACUUGAGUGCAGAAGAGGAAAGUGGAAUUCCAUGUGUAGCGGUGAAAUGGACAGAGAUAUGGAGGAACACCAGUAGCGAAGGCGACUUUCUGGUCUGUAACUGACGCUAAUGUGCGAAAGCGUGGGGAUCAAGCUGG
rnacentral:rRNA from 1 species